GACGAACCGUACGAACGUUAUUCGGAUUUACUGGGCUUAAAGGGUGCGUAGGCGGCGCGGAAAGUUGGGUGUGAAAUCCCUCGGCUUAACCGAGGAACUGCGCCCAAAAACUACCGUGCUCGAGGGAGACAGAGGUGAGCGGAACUUAGGGUGGAGCGGUGAAAUGCGUUGAUAUCCUAAGGAACACCAGUGGCGAAAGCGGCUCACUGGGUCUCUUCUGACGCUGAUGCACGAAAGCUAGGGUAGCGAACGGG
rnacentral:rRNA from 1 species